CUGAAGGGCUGUUCUGAUCCGUGUAUUUGAACUGGAGUGAAUCUGAUGCCAAUUAGAGAAAUGAGGGCCUGUGGAAAAAAAGGAGUGUGCUGCAUUUUGUGGUGCAAGAUGUUCUGGGCACUGCUGCUAACAAUGCCCGGAGGCUUCCUUUUUGAUGGGGAGAGGCUUAGCAAGGACUUCUUCCAUGAAAGGGGUUCAUCAUCUAUUUCCUUGUCAUUGACCUUUCCUACUACUGCUUGAGAAAUUAAUGUUUCUUGCUGUAGGGAAUACACAUGCACCCUGCACUUGUAUCUGCACAAAGAAUCUUCUAAGCAUCUCUGUCCGUGUUUCUUUUUGGCACUGGGAUGGAGCUGUGUGGAAGACAGACUUGGAUGAACCUUCAGUCAGGUGCAGGGAUGCGUAAUGCUCAUCUAAGAUGUCACUCUGACAGCAGCAGUAGAGAGGCAAAUUUCAUAGCUUUUUUUUUUUUUCAUGCUUUUUUUUUUUCUUCUUUUGUUUCAGUGAUAACCAUGGAAGCAUGGAAGCGUUACCCAGACAGACUGAGCAUUUGUCACCUGGGCAUUCUACAGAUGACAUAGGCAGUGGAAGUCAGCAUUGGAAGCAUGCGUGAGACCCCUGCAAAAGAAUGAUGAGUGUUACCCUGGCGGCCUCCUUUGGCAAUCUCAGGUCUCUGUAAGCUCUUAAGCUGUGUCGUAAGUCCUCCCGUGGUGCUGACUCAGCUCUCCCUGUCUUUGGUGUAGGAGAGCUGGUCUUCAGCUCCUUCCUGUUUCCUGCCUAUCUGCUCCCUGCUUUGCCCAUGGCCCAGUGAGCCUUUUAUUCUUCACCCCCGGACUUGCACGUGUGGAUAACAGCAUCUGCUUAUGUACGCUUCUUUUCUGCUUGUGGUGUCAGGCUGAGCGACGGCUCCCAGCCGAGCUUGUGCUUAGCGAGACACGGAGUAGCUGGAGAUGGAGUUCUCUGUGUCACUAAAGCAUGAGCUUGAUGGCUGCCGUGAGACAAAGCGAGAGAGUUUGUGUGUUUGAUUUCUGUGUUGGGCUGAGCGGGUAGAGCAGGGCAAGGGGGCUGAUUUGGACGUGCUGCUUUCCAAAUACGGUGCUGUUUGUGUGGCAAUGCUUCUGACAUUCCAAAUUGUGUCAGAUGUCACUGAAUUCCUUGGAAUCUGCUGAGUUGACUUGUGCAGGUUUCAUUCUGGAGCUGAACCCUUCCUGGCCGCUUCUGUGCAUAGCCAUGGCUGUUGCUUCUUUCUUGCCUCCUUUCUUUGUUGUGUUUGGCACUGUGCAAGCCGUGAAUUGCCAGGGAGCAGCUGAAAGUGCUCUGGAGUUGUGGGGGACAAACUGCCAAGAAACAAGGUGCAGCUUCAAAGCCCCGAAGUUUGGAGAGAUGAGAGAUGCACAGCGCUCUGCCUGGUGCAGGACAUGAUGUGCUCUGCAAGGCGCUUUCCACAAAGCCCUCACGUCCUUUCUCAAACUGCAUCCAAAGCAACCCAGUGCCCUGUGCUUGUUGUACCCGGAGGUAUCGGUGCCAGGAGUUGCUGCUGUGUUUGCAAUGCCAUUGUGUCGGCAGGGUGACGUUAAUGGGCUGCAAUGCCCUCAGUCAUUCAAAGCAUCCUUGCAGAUGUUCCUAGUGAGGGGCAUGUUUCAUGGACACCAUAGGUUGUUUCCUGGAAAAUGAAAGAGUGGGCUUGCGUACCUCCAGAUGGUUUUCAUUUCCUGCUGAGCCCAGUGCACUUCACGUCUGCUGCCAUUGCCCCACGGCCCUGUUGUGGUUUAAGCCGGUGGGUGGCUCAGCACCACACAGUCCUUUGCUUACUCCCCCCUUCCCAGUGGGAUGGGGGAGAGAAUUAUGGGGGGGAAAAAAAAGAAGGUGGAACUAAUGCGUUGAGAGAAAUCUCUUUCCAAAGGUAGAGAAAAGGAAGGACCGAAGUAAUAUAUAUGUCUAUUUACGAAUGUAUGUAACAAGUGAUGUAGAAGCGG
ensembl:lncRNA